rnacentral:rRNA from 2 species
UUUAUGGAGAGUUUGAUCCUGGCUCAGGAUGAACGCUGGCGGCGUGCCUAAUACAUGCAAGUCGAGCGAACAGAUGAGGAGCUUGCUCCUUUGACGUUAGCGGCGGACGGGUGAGUAACACGUGGGUAACCUACCUAUAAGACUGGAAUAACUCCGGGAAACCGGGGCUAAUGCCGGAUAACAUGUUGAACCGCAUGGUUCA